CUUAGUUCAACUAAACAAUUUUAAAGGGAGUUCUUAACAUUUAAAACAUAUGACACCAGUCUGUGAAAUAUCUAACAAUACAAGAACCAACAUACGCAAUGAAAUUGGGACAAGGCCCCCAGUCAGACCAUGAAUCAAAAUAAAAUAACAAUAACUCAUAACUAGGCCUUCUGAAAUAAGGAAGGCUCACCAACUGCAACUUCUGACCAAACAACUCUAUGCUUAAUGGGACCCCAGAACUGUGCCUCAGAUUUUGAAAUAUAUGGGGUCAAUACAGAUGUACUAGUAUGCAGAGCAAUCCAAAAAAAUGUACCUUGAUAUAUAAAACAUAAGUGAGAGCAUUUCAUAAGAAAAACUUUAUGCAUGAAAUAAUUUAAAACACAUGGGCAGUUUUAUAUGUCUUAAAACAAAUCUGUAGAUGUAAUUCCUCUUAUUUUUUUUACUUCUGAGCUAACUGGUAUAACCUACAUAUCUGAAAGUAUCCCACAGGCUAUAUGGGAUCCGCCCUAAACUCAGCGGUUAAGCCCCCAAUCUAAGUAUGCCUCAAGGGUUGGAGUAUCUAAAUCUAAUACGCCAUAGGGUACUAGGCCAGCGUAUAAUCCCUCACUGGGAACAUAAUAAGCUCGUAUUGGAAAAACACGAUUUCAGAAAAUAAAUCAUAUGACCCAUUCCUACUUUGAAUAACCACCUAACAGAUAGCAUUCAGUCUAGCCCACUUGUAUUAAAAUUGAUGGGCUUCAAUGUGAAUCAAGAAGAACUUAUAAUGGAAGAAAAAACCUAAGAAUGAGCUCGAGAAUCAUGGUGAAGCAUGGGCUAAGUACUAUACAUAUUUCAAGAGUCAAGUCCAAGUCUAAACUGAAGAAGAUUAGGCCAUAUGAGUUUUGAUUAAAUUUGUGAAUUUUUCCUUAUUUCGUUAGGGAUUUAUUUUGGAUAUUAUUUUCCUAGUUUAAAGUUUCCUAGAUUUAUUUAUUUUCAUAAAAGUAGAAUUCGAAUUCCAUGCUAUUUGGGAUAGUAUAUAUAUAUAUAUAUAGGGAUGGAUUUUGUUUUCUUGAAGGGGACAAUAUUAUUAUUAAUUGAGAGUUUCUCUUAUUUACACCUCUGUGUGUGGCUACUUGGGAUUUAUCUUGCAACCCUAUAAGCACGAAUCUUUAGGAGGUAAGAUUAAUUCUUAAUUUGAUAUUUUUGGUUUCUAUUAAAGAAGGUGAUUAUUCUUAGACUAAUUAUUGUCUUUAGUUUCUUUGAAAUAAGGGUCUAGAUUACUUUUGAUCUAAGUUCUUGAAUUGACUCUAUUAGUAUCAUAAUUAGACUUAAUCUGCUAAUUUUGAAUACUAAGAUCAAUUAGGGUUCUUACCACUUAACCUCAAAAUUGGGGAUUUUAUUCUCCAAUUUUGCCUAUCUUUAAUUUCUUACCUUUAAUCUUAGUAUUUUCGCAUUAUUUUCUUGUUUAUUAACAUAACCCGAUUUUUAUCAAGUGGUAUCAGAGCAGUUCCAUCAAGGUUUCAUUCUUGAUAAUCUUGGGAGUUUCAACAAAAAAACACUCAAAAAAAAUAUUUUUCUCAUUGUUAAGCUACAUAGCCAAAAAAAGGAGAAAAAAAUAAAAUAAAAAAGAGAGAAAAUUUAUCUGUUUGAGAAUUAAGGUAUUAUAAAAAAAUUCAUUUUUUUUGUUUCUUGAUUUCAACACCAACAAGGAAUAUCAAGAAGAGGGAAAAUUUGAAAAUUUUUCUAUUUACACAAAUUGAUCUUUUUUCCUUAUCUCAUCAAACCUAAUUUAUUUGGGUACUGAUAAAUUCUUUUCUUUCUGCAUCUUACUUCUAAAAAGUUAUUUCUAAUAGGGGUGUAUAUAUAAAUCCUAAAGGAUCCAGUCAAAGAUAGUAAUUUGAGUGAGAAAAGGGUAAGAAAGAGUGAGAUAAAAAAAGGGUCAAAUUGAGAGUUUUGUUUUCUUUUAACUUUUGGAGAUGUCUGAAAAAGAUACUAAUACUGGGACUCAAAACAAUGACAUAGUUGAGGCACUUAGAAGUAUUUUUGCUCGAAUCUAUGCAUUAGAGGUCACCCAAAAUCCACCUAAUCAGGUGAAUAUAACUGAUUUAAGGAGAAGUGUUUUUCAUACAAGGUGUGGGAUAUAGGAUAAUAUUUGCUCUAUGAUUAUUGACUUUGAAAGUGAUGCUAAUGUGAUAAGUUCAUACAUUGUGGAUAAGUUGAAACUUACAUGCAUCAAACACAAUGAUUUAGGUGUACUUAAGGUGACUAAGCAAUGGAUGAUUUCUUUCUCCAUUGGAAGGUACUAUGAUUUCUUACAUGAUAUGCAAGAUUGUCAUAUCAAGCUUGGGCGUCCCUGGCAGUUUGAUAGGAAUGCAAUUUAUGAUAGGGGGAACAAUAAAGUUUCUCUUGGUCUAAACAAAAGAAAAUAUAAACUUGUACCUUUAACUCUAUCCCAAGUUUAUGAAGAUUAGAAACAUGUGAAAAAAGCAAUGAAAAAUUUUGAGAGAGAAAGGAAUGAGAGGAGUAAGGGAGUGCAUGAUGAUAUUCCAAGAGAGAAAAGAAGAAAGGUUGUGUUAUGUGAAGAGAAUGGGAUGUCAAAUAAGGUCAAGAAAAAAGAAAAGAGAGAUGAUCAUGAGAGUAUUAAAGAGAGGGAUAACCUUUGAGAAUUCCUAUGCAUAUGUGGAUAAAUUUUAUGUGGAAAAAUCUUUGAGAAGUGUAAUUGAUGAUGCUUGGCUAUAUCAUAAAAGUGUUAAAUUUGAUAAAUAUUUUAUGGAGCUUAUGACGUCUUUAAUAAACCCAGUGGAGUACUUUAUUGAUAAAGCUAAAUUGGGGAGGGACAUAUCAUUCCCUACGUCAUCUAAACGUGAAUAUUUUUGUGGUCAUACAAGGAAGAGAAUUUUCUAUUAGGAUGAUGAUAUCCACAUGCUUUAUAAAGGUGUAUUUAUACAUGAAAGGAUUAAUUGGGUUAAGUGGACACAUGGUCACUAUCUUGUUUUGUUCCUACCAUUGUUGCUUUCAAGUAAAGAAUGUUGUUUACUAUUGUAUGUCUUCUUGAUUUUGCAAGAUUCCAAUUCGAGGAUGAAUUGUUUUCAAGAAGAGGGGACUGAUAGCAUCCAAUCUAUCCCACUUUCAUUAAAAUUGAAAGGCUUCAAUGUGAAUGAAGAAGAACUUAUGAUGGAAUAAAAAACCUAGACCGAGCCCGAGAAUUAUGGAGAAGCAUGGGCCAUGUACUAUACAUAUUUCACGAUUCAAGUCCAAGUCCAAAUGGAAAAAGAUUGGGCCAUAUGAGUUUUGAUUAAAUUUGUGAACUUUUCCUUAUUUUCUUAGGGAUUUAUUUUUGGUAUUAUUUUCCUAGUUUUAAAGUUUCCUAGUUUAAAGUUCCUUAGAUUUAUUUAUUUCCAAUAUAUAUAUUAUUAUUAAUAGAGAGUUUCUCUUAUUUACACCUUUAUGUGUGGCUACUUAGAAUUUAUCUUGCAACCCUAUAAGAACGAUUCUUUAGGAGGUAAUAUUAAUUCUUAAUUUGAUAUCUUUGGUUUCUAUUAAAGUUAAUUAAAGAAGGUGAUUAGUCUUAUACUAAUUGUUGUCUUUAGUUUCUUUGAAAUAGGGGUCUAGACCACUUUUGAUCUAAGUUCUUGAAUUGACUCUAUUAAUAUCAUAAUUAGUCUUAAUACGCUAAUUUUGAAUACUAAGAUCAAUUAAGGUUCUUAGCACUUAACCUUGAAAUUGGGGAUUUUUAUUCUCUAAUUUUGCCUAUCUUUAAUUUCUUGAAUUUAAUCUUAUUAUUUUCACUUCCGCAUUAUUUUCUUGUUUAUUAACAUAACCCGAUUCUUAUCACUAAAUCUCUUAAAGCCCAUUUUUAACCUAUUCUAAACAUGCACAUUUUUGAAUUCAAAAUCUGAAAAUCUAAAUGAAAUCUUACUUAUGUUCAGUUCUGAGUGUUAUAGCAUUAUCUAUUUUGGUAUCAUCACACCAAGACUUUAAAGUCAUGUCUCUAUGCCGUAAUUAUCAUAAACAAUUAUUUCAUUCAAAAAUAAUGUUCAGACUACCAAAACAUUCAAUCGGUACAGAAAGAUUCAUCUUUUAAAUCAUAUGUUAAACCAUGCAGGGAUUCCUUCUUUUCAACUCUUAAUCAUGUGGUGGUCACUUACUUUAUAGAAAUCUUCAUCAUUUAUCAACAAGUAAAACACGCUCUCUUUAAUUCACCAUCAAUCUCAAAUAAGUUAGCAAUAGGCUAGAGAACAUUUAUAUUGUGCUUCAAAAAGUGAAAUUUAUCAAUUCUUAACAUGUAAAAAUCAAAGGAUUAUAACUAGACAGGGAGUAAAAAUAUUCAUGCUCUCAAUACAUCCUUAAAAAAAAUCCAAACCAAUACAUAUAUAUAUAUAUGUGAACAGACAUCAAGUUUAUGGGGAAGGCCUCAAGAUCAAAAUAUUAUUAUCAAAAGAGUUCAAAAAGCAUAAUUGUUAAUGUAAAUUCAAAACCCUUUAUAAAUUCAUGAUCUUUCAACCUUAAAAACUUAAUCAAAACAAUUUCACCAUGCCUAUGUAGUGUAGGAAAACCCCACAUACCUUAGAUGAUCUAAUUCAAAUAAUAGAACUUAAAUCUUGACUCAUUUCUUGGAAUUCUUGAGUUAAGAUCUUGAUUCUUGAUCUUUGGAGGCUUAGCAAUUUCUUGAAUAGGAAGAGAGAAUAAUGAUGUAACAAAUUCUCUUUAGGGGCUUAAAUCUUGUGUUUUGGAUGAUUUUGGGGUGAGAAAAAUGACCUAAUUGCCCCCAAAUAUGCGAAUUCAGAAGCUGGAAAAUAAGGGGUGAAAUGGAGCAUGUGUCGUAUGAUCUGGAGUGCUGAUAUUGAGCGUGUGUCGCAUGCUUAUCGUACACGACUACUGUUCUAACAAAAAUAAUCAUAACUUUUUGCUCAGGUAUUGGAUUGAGGUGAAAUUGGUAUCGUUAGAAAGCGGACUCAAUUAUCUACAAUUUGGUGGGUAUUUAGCCGCAAAAUUAUACAUGUAUCAAAAGUUAUAAAUAUUUAAGGUAGACCCUUGUAACAUCAAAAACAAAGACUUAGCUGAAUCAAAGGUUCUUAGCUCAACUUCUCUCUAAGUGAUUCCUAUGAAGAUUUUUCACUUCGAAACCACUUCAAACACGAGGAUAUAGAUCAUGAAACUUAUUCUCACUUGGAGUUAAUUCUAUUAGAGCUUACACACUUCGAAAUAACUGUUCGAUUUCUAGUUCAAAAAUGUCGGGUGUUACAUUAUCUCCCUAUUAGGAUCAUUCAUGCCCGAAUGAUGAGUAGGGACUUUUUAAAGCUCUAAAUGUGUAGAAUACAGAACAUAAUUUUGCAUUGAACGUUUUUCCUCAAUGAAAUAUGCAAAGGCAUCAACAAGCUUCAUAAUAACCCCAGGGGAAACGUAUAAAUACAAAAAAAUGAGAUAAUGAAACUUGACAUCGACAUGAUCUUAGAAUGUGUUUUAUGACACAUUAUCAAAAUAUUGUAAGGCAUAAAUUUUCAUAAGAAUCCUUGGCCUCAAUUGAUAUGCUCUCCACUAUGUGUUCAGCCAUGAUUAGGACAUUUCAACAUCUAAAUCUUAUAAUUCCCCCUCUAAAUACAUAACUACAAGAGUUUGAAUCUAACUGCAUCACACUCUCAUAUUGAAGCCUAACCCAAAACAAAAAAAUGGCAGCUUAAGCUAUGGGACUCCACACUCUAUCUUCCUUUAAAAUAUUACUUCACCUUAUCACUACUAUCAGACACCCUUAGGUAUUAAAUCAAGGAAUACCAACCACAUAACACAUUGGUUUAUGUUUUCAUCAAUCACCACCUUCAAGCCUAUCAUUACAAUACCACACUUCAUGGAUCUCUCUACUAAGACCAGCAAAUUCAAUCAGUCUCACUAGGAUUCUUGCCAUAUAUCACCUUCUGAACUAUUCCACGUAACAAAAGUUCAUCUCCUUCUUCCCUUUUCUCUUAUAGCCUUAGCUAAAGAAUUCACAUAAAAAAAAUUCACCUUCAAGAGCAUCUACUUCCCUACCUAACACAGUACUAUGCUUCCACAACCAUCAUCAUACUAACAUAUGAAGGUUCAUUAAAAGACCCGAGUAUAAGCAUCAUAAAUGGGAGAAACACUACUCAAUUACAACCCAUAUCUGUUGAUCUACUCAAGGUGGCACAUGAGGUGAAUUUACAAUACAAUAGACACGAAAUGCGUUAUAAAUCAAGUUUUUGGAUCAUAAGUAGAGAGUCGCUCGGGCAUAACUCAACAUAGCAUGAUUUAUUAGGACAGACCACAAUGAGGAACAUGGGCGCUUAUAUCAUGAGUCUUAUAACAUAAGGUCAGAAUUCAUAAAUUCAAUGAUUGAGACAAUGAUGUAUACUUAAAGCUAUUGCUUCUAAAUUUAUUUUUCAAAGCUGACGUAUUCAUGAGUUUGAACUUUAUUAUUUUGGCUAAUCCCAACAUAAACGAAUUAGUAACUUAUAAAAACAUAGUUCCUUAAAACCAAGCAUGGGUUUGGGACACAAACUUAUAGUUCAUAAGCAACAUAAUAUAGGACUGGGAUACUUGGAAUCUUUGAUCACUAAGGAACAUUAUUGCUUCUAGUUUGGAGGUCGGGACAUGACAUAAGUUACAUAUGAGUGCUCAAACCUUAGACAUAGGUAGGACUUGGUACAUUGACCUCUUAAAUUGUAAUACCCCGCACUUUUUCCUAGCUUAGUUUAGCUCCUAGAAUGUCAAGAGUUAUCUUUGAAAAUAAAUAACUCUUGAUAUAUGUAGAAUUUUCUAGUUCUAGACCCACUAAUGUGUACAUAAUUGGCUCAAUUUUCCAAUAAUACCAAUUUUGCCUUAAUUCGAUACUCGGUUGAGAAGUUAUUGUGUUUUUAGUAAAAUAGUAUGACAUUUUGACAGUUAUUGCAUCGCGGUGAAGGACGAUUUUGCAAUUGUCAAAUUCCAGUGGAGCACCACGAUUACGUCGCAUCAAAGUGAAAGUUCAGUUCUCACUUGUCCUUUUUCCAGUGAGGCAAUUCAAUAGUGGCGCAUCGCAGCAAUGGCCAAAAUGGGACUCAUCCCUUGUCUAGUAGCCCAAUGCGAUAGUCACGUUGAUGGGAAAAAUCAGGCUCAUUCCUUUUUCAGUGAACCACUAUGAUAGUAGCGCAUAAAUAAUUCCCAAGCACCAAUUCAUAAAUAACACAGAAUUAAACCUACUCUAAGCAUUCUAUGCUCACUUUUCAUCAAUUCUCUCUUAAGAAAACCCUAGAACCUCAAAACAUAACCUCCAAGAGAUCAAAUUUCCUCCAUUCUUUUUCCAAGAUAGCUCAAAAUUAAAGAUUCCCACUUUAAGAGAUUCAAGAAUUCAUCAUAAAGAAAAUAAAUAGGGAAUCAAGUUCAAGCUUUCUUAGUAAUUGCAUCAAUUAAGGUAUGUGGAAUUUAUAAACAAGGAUCCUCUUUCAUCCUUAUGCCCAAAACUAGUUUUCAUUACAAAUUUACAUGAUUUUGUAUGAUUAUUUGUGAAUUUUAAAUUAGGGUGCAUACCCAAUAUUGCUAAUUGAAGGAUUGUGAGCUUUGAAGUAAAUAAGAUGAUGAAUUUUCAUGUUUACUUUCAUAUUUUCAUGCGCAUUGCAGUAAUUUCUAGAUUUUGAGUUGAAUUGUCAAUACCUUCAUUAUCAAGAAUGAAUAUUAUUAUAUUUUGACAUGAAUUUGAGGCAUGGGUAUUAAGUCCUAGUUGAAUAUUGUUAUUUCAAGAAUUGAUUAUGCUAUGAGCACUUAUGACUAGAGUAUUUUCAGAUUUUCGAUAAAUAUUUGAUCUUUUGAUCUCAAUUUAGAUAUGAAAUACACAUUACAUUUUCAGACUACAGUUUAACUUAACAAAUAUACAAUUGGUUUUCAUAAUAAACCAUUAUACUAGAUUUUAAAGUGGAUUUCCAACAGAUCAUACAAAUUAAAAAGGAGUAGUAUUUAGCAAUGAGCUGGGUAUGUACAUGCCCCAGAACUAUGAGCUAUUAUAGGUUCAGAUGAUCAGAUUAUUCCCAUUUCUAUAUAGAUAACAAAUAUAGAUAUGAUCACUUAGAUUAGGAUAUACUCCUUACCAAGAGUAUAAUACCUCUCCCCAAUGUGAGGUUUUCUCUUUUAGGGAACUAGACGUUGGACACUAUGAUAGCUCACAUAGUGUAUGUCCGUUAGAAGAACCUUCCUAAUAGAAAAGCUUUACAGAAAAGUUUUUAAAAGAAUUCCCUGCAACUUAACAGUAAAUUCUUUCAUAAUAGUUCUAAAAGUAUUUUUAUACUAGUAAAACCUUACAGAACGGAAUAAUUUUAAUAGAAUAGCAUUUAGAAACUAAGUGUAAAUGCUCACAGUUUUAUUCAGAUAUUACUUUACAUAUGGAUUUAGCCAUGAGAUUUUAGAUUUCAGUUUACAAAUCCAGAAGUGAGUCCUUUCUAUACUUAGAUAGUAUGAUUUAAAGAUAGAAUACUAGUACGACUUUUAGAAACUAAAUGUUAUGACUCACUAGAUUUAUAGAACAUAUUUUGAUAUUAUUGAUUAUGAUUUUUAUUUUUCAAAUAUUCCAGCUUAUGCUAGUUAUUUACAUUUAGCAUGCAUUAUUUUAUAAAUUCUGACGAUGUUGAGAUAUUAUUUUACUUAUGAAUUCACCCCCAUCUACUCAGUAAAUUCUCAAAGUACUGAUCCACAUAUACGUCUAUGUGCUACAUUGUCUCAUAAUGUAGGUUUAGGUUCUCAGUUUCAAUAGCGUGAGUGGUGUCGAGCAUCUCUAUCUACAUCCCAACAGUUGGUAAAUCCUCAUAGAUUGAGGACUUAGUCUUUCAAUUUUUCAGCUUAUUAGUAUAGAAAAUUUAGUAUUUUCAGAGAGUUUGAGUCAGCUGGGGGUUUGUCCUAGAGACUCUCUAGCAUUAGUAGUAGAAGCUUGUCAGACUGCUAGAUUAUGAUUCAGAUUUUUAGUAUUGAUUGAUCAGACUCUUGAGUCUAGUAUUUUUUAGAGAACAUAUUUACAUAUUCCUAGUUAGUUCAGAUAGAUUUCUGCAUUCUAAUUUUGAUGUUACAUCUAUAUUUUCUUAUUAUGAGAUUUAGACUCAGCAGAAGGCGAACAGGGUUAGCUUAAGGCUACUCAUAGUCUUAAGCAUCGUGUGAUAUUUUGGGACUUAUUUUUGGGGCAUUACGAACUUAAUAGAAGAGCCUAAGGUUAUAAUUAUCCUAGGGAGUCAGACAAGACAUUUUACGUAGAGUCUUGAUCAUGGAUGUGGAGCACGCUAUAUUUAUGAGAAAGAGGCUAGGGAUGUUUUUAGGAAAUUAUCUCUUUCUUUCAUGAUCUAUCGUGCUUGUAGUAUCUCUAUCUGAUUUUAACUCAUGCUCUUACGUGACAGUUGAAUAUGCUUCCUCGAUGAGCUAAUGCCCAUAGAAAUGAUAACCAACCACCUCAACUUGCUAACCCUCUGAAUAAGAAUGUAUCCCAUACUGAAUUUUGGGCUGCCUUUCAGGCGUUGGCCCGAGCUGUGACUGCUAAUGUUCAGGGAAACCAUCAGGCGAUAGUCCCACUUCAGCAGAAUAGGGAUUUAGCAGUAGCCAGAAUCUAAGACUUCAUAAGAAUGAAUCCGCCAGAGUUCUUUAGGUCAAAAGAAGGUGAGGACUCACAACUUCAUUUAGUUGAGGUGAAGAAGAUCACCUAGAUUAUGCAUGUUUCUAAGACAGAAAGUAUACCGCUAUCAUCCUAUAGAUUGAAGGAUGUAAUGCAUGAUUGGGUGGUUAUAUGGAAGAAUGAUAGAGGUGAUAAUGCAGCUCCUAUGAGCUGCCAGGUGUUUUAAGAUGCUUUUCUAAAUAGGUUCUUUCCGCAUGAAAUAAGAGAAGCUAAGGUAUAAGAGUUUGUGAACUUGAGGUAGGGCUCAAUGAAAGUGAAAGAGUACUGCCUCAAGCUCAACCAGUGGUCUAAGGAUGCCCCUUAUACGAUGGCUGACCGUAGGGUAAGUAUGAGUAAGUUCGUUAUCGGAAUAUCUAGUUUGGUAGUCAAGGGGUAUAGGAUUGCCAUGCUUAUUAAGGACAUGGAUCUUUAUAGUUUGAUAAUUUAUACUAGUAGAUUAAGGCAAAAAAGUUGAAGAAAAGAGAGAGAGGAAAUAAAAAGGCUAGAACCAGAUAUUUUAAGUAUGGCUAGACAAAGUAUGGAGAGGGAAAUCGUUCGCAGUUUCAAAAUCGUUCAUCUAUGCCAACACCAUCCUUAGCUAGUUCUCUUACUCCCAGAGCUAGAUAGGAGCAGUGGGGUAAGACUUCUAGUCCAGAUCUCAAAAUAGUGUGAGUGGAAAGCCCAAUUAUCAUCAAUAUGCUAAGUGUAGUAAGAAUUAUCCUGGUGAGUGCUUGUUGGGUCAAAAAGGUUGUUAUGGUUGUGGUAAGUUGGGCUAUGGAAUCAAAGAGUAUCCGCAUACUAAGAAGAGAAACAGGGAUGUUCAUCCCCAGACUCAGGCUACUAGUGCACCAGCUCUUCUAGGUCACCCAAUUUUUCAAUAGAGCACAUCAUCCAGUACUAGUGGUAGUCAGUGCUAGAAUCAGUUUUAUGCUUUACCAUCCCAUCAAGAGCAGGAGAUUCACCAGAUGGUGUCACUGAUAUGCUUUGUUUCUUUCAUCUUGAUGUUUAUGUGUUGUUAGACCCUGGGUCAAGUGUCUUUUAUAUGACCCCAUUAGUUGCAGUUAAUUCUAAAAUAGGUCCUAAAAAGAUCCAUGAGCCCUUCUUAGUUUGUACCUCAAUGGGUGAGUCAGUUGUUGCUAAACAAAUCUAUAAAAAGUCUCCUAUCACUGUCCUUCAUAAAAUUAUAUUAGCAAAUUUAAUAGUUAGAUAUGGUCGACUUUGACCUUAUUCUUGGUAUGGAUUAGCUCUAUUCCUAUUAUGCAUCAAUAGAUUGUCGCACCAGUGUAGUGAAGUUUUAGUUUCCAGAUGAGCCAGUUUUUGAGUAGGAAGGUAAUUAGUGUCUCCCUAGAGUCAUUUCGUAUCCCAUCUUAAAGUCAAAAAGUUGAUCUCAAAAGAGUGUAUCUAUCAUCUAGUUCGAGUCAAAGACACUAAGUCUGAUACUCCAACAGUUCAGUUAGUCAGUGUAAUCAAUGAAUUUCUAGAUAUUUUUCCCAAAGAUUUUCCAGGGGUACCUUUCAAUAGAAAAAUAGAAUUCGGUAUUGACCUUUUUCUAAAUACUCAGUCCAUCUCUAUUCCUUCAUAUCUUAUGGACCUAGCUGAGCUUAAAGAUUAAAAGAGCAGCUUAAAGACCUCUAAGAAAAAGAUUUCAUAAGGCCCAAUGUCUCUCCAUGGGGCGCUCCAAUCCUAUUCGUAUAGAAGAAAGAUGGUUCUCUACAAAUGUGCAUUGACUAUCAUUAGUUUAAUAAAGUCACAGUCAAAAAUAAAUAUCCUUUUCCUAGGAUUGAUGACUUAUUCGGCUAGCUCUAAGGUGCAAGUUAUUUCUCCAAGAUAAACCUUAGAUUCGGCUAUCAUCAUCUUAGAGUAAGGGAAUGUGAUAUUCCAAAGAUAGCUUUCAGAACCUGUUAUGGUUAUUUCAAGUUUCUAGUUAUGUCAUUUGGUCUUACCAAUGCCCCAACAACUUACAUGGACUUGAUGAAAAGAGUGUUCAAAUAGUAUUUGGACAUGUUUGUCAAAGUCUUUAUGGAUGAUAUUCUUGUCUAUUAUCGUAGUGAGGAAGAUCAUGCAGACCACCUUAGAAUUGUGUUGCAAACUCUUAGAGAUCACCAGUUAUUUGCAAAAUGUAGAAAAUUUAAAUUUUGGCUAAGAUCAGUAGCUUUUCUCAUUCAUAUUAUUUCAAGUGAUGGUAUUAAAGUUGAUCCCCAAAAGAUAAAGAUAGUAAGAAACUGGCCUAGACCUCUUUCUCCAUCAGACAUUAGGAGUUUCUUGGGUUUAGCUAGUUUUUACAGAUAUUUUGUUAAGGGUUUUUCAUCUAUUGCAUCCCCUAUGUCUAGAUUAACCCAAAAGAAAGUUAAGUUCCAGUGGUCAUUUCCUGUGAGAAGAGUUUUCAGGAGUUGAAGACUCAGCUCACUUCAGCCCUGAGUUUAGCACUACCUGAUGGUACAUAUGGGUUCGUUGUAUAUUGUGAUGCCUCUAGAAAUGGUCUGGGUUAUGUUUUGUUGCAGAGAGGUAAGGUUAUAGCCUAUGCCUCUAGAAAACAUAAGCCUCAUGAAGAGAUUUACCCUACCCAUGAUCUUAAGUUAGCUAUUGUUGUGUUUGCAUUGAAAUCUAGAGGCACUAUAUCUUUAUGGGGUGCAUGUUGAUGUGUUUAUAGAACACAUAAUUUUACAGUAUGUGUUUACUCAGAGGGAGUUAAAUUUUUGUCAGAGAAGGUGGUUAGAAUUAUUGAAGGAAUAUGAUAUAAGCGUGCUAUAUCAUCUGGGCAAGGCUAAUAUAAUGGCAGAUGACCUUAGUAGAUUGUCUAUGGGCAGUGUUACUCAUGUGGAGAAUGAUAAGAGAGAGCUAGUUUGAGAAGUUCACAGGUUAGCAAGAUUGGGUGUGAGAUUGGUUGAUUUAGUUGAAAGGGAAUGUUUUGGUUUAGAGUAGUUCCCAAUCUUCUCAAGUUUCUGAAAUAAAAGAGAAGCAGGAUAAGGAUUCUAGUUUGGUCAAACUAAAGGUUUCGGUUAAAGACGAAAAGGUAGAGGUUUUCUCCCAAGGGGGAGAUAGUGUGUUAAGAUACCAGAGUAGUGUGUGUGCCAUGUGUUGUUGAUUUAAGGAAGUGGUUUAUGGAAUAAGCACAUGGUAUGUGUUAUUCCAUUCAUCAAGGAGCCACGAAGAUGUACCACGACUUGCAGGAAGUCUAUUGGUGGAGUGAUAUAAAGAAAUAUAUAGUAGAAUUUAUAGCCAAGUGUGGAACUUGUCAACAAGUUAAGGUAGAGCACCAAAGACCUGGUGGCAUAUUGCAGGAAUUUAGUAAUCCCACUUGAAAGUGGGAAGAGGUGAAUAUGGACUUGCUGACUAGAUUACCCUAUUUGCAUCAUCAUCAUGAUUCGAUUUGGAUGAUUGUAGAUAGAUUGACCAAGUCAGCCCAUUUCUUACCAGUCCACACGUCUUACACAGCUGAAGAUUAUGCUGAGUUGUAUAUCAGAAAUUUAGUUAGAUUGUAUGAAGUUCCUUUGUCCGUCAUCUCAGAUAGGGCUACUCAGUUUGCCUCUCAAUUUUGGAAAGCCUUUUAGAAGGGUCUUCGUACCCAAGUUCAUUUCAUUCAGCUUUUUAUCUGCAGACAGAUGGUUAGACAAAGAGGACCACUUAGACUUUAUAAGAUAUAUUGAGGGCAUGUGUUCUUUACUUCAAAGGUAGUUGGGACGACCACUUGCCAUUGAUUGAGUUUUCCUAUAAUAACAGUUACCAUUCUAGUAUUCAGAUGGCCCCAUUUGAAUCUCUUUAUGGGUGGAGAUGUAGAUCACCAGUCGGUUGGUUCAAAGUGGGUCAGGCUACUUUGAUUGGGCUAGAUAUGGUGUUUGAGUCCAUGGAGUAAGUUCAGUUGAUUCGAGAGAGAUUGAGAGCAGCUCAGAGUCAUCAGAAAUCCCAUGCAGAGUAAGGAGUGAUCUUGAGUUUGAAUUAGAUAAUCUUGUGUAUUUGAAGGCUUCACCUAUAAAAGGGGUGAAGAGAUUUGGCAAAAAGAGGAAACUUAUUCCUCAAUUUAUAGGCCCCUACAGGAUUUUGAGUCGUGUUAGGAAGGUAGUAUAUGAGCUUGAGCUACCCGCAGACUUGUUGUCAGUUUAUCCAGUGUUCCAUGUGUCCUUAUUGAAGAAAGUACAGAUAUUCAGAAUAGCCUUUAUACGAAGAAGUUCCAGUAGAGAUUCUUGAUUAUCAAAUCUGUAGACUAAGUAACAAAGAAGUUACCUUGGUCAAAGUUCUGUGGAUAAAUUAGUCCAUUGAAGUUGCUACUUGGGAAGUAGAAGAAUACAUGUGUACCAAGUAUCCUCACCUUUUCUCCACGAACUCAGAUUUAUCCGAAGGUAAAAGUCUUCCUUAAUUUAGUUAUUUUCCAGUCUCAGAUUCAGCUACAUAGUUAUCUUCAUAUCAAACCAUGUAUUCACAGAUUAGUUCAGUCACUCAGUACGUUUUAGAUCCAGUUAUACAGCUCAUUCCAGUUGUUGGUGCCAGUAUAUAGCCUCAGUACCUCAGUAUCUUUAGUUUAACUAGCCACAUUCGAGGCCGAAUGUUCCCAAGAAGGACAUAUUCUAGUACCCCGUAAUUUUUCCUAGCUCAGUUUGGCUCCUAGAAUGUCAAGGGUUAGCUUUGAAAAUGAAUAAAUCUUGAUACAUGUAGAAUUUUCCACUUCUACACCCAUCAAUGUGUAGAUAAUUGGCUCAACUUUCCAACGAUACCAAUUUUACCUUAUUCCGAUACUCGAUUGAGAAGUUAUGGCAUUUUUAGUAAAACAUUAUGAAAUUUUGAUAGUCACUGCGUCGCGGUGAAGGACGAUUUUGCAAUUGUCAAAUUCCAGUGGAGCACCGCAAUUACGUCACAUAAUGGUGGAAGUCUAGUUCCCACUUGUCCUUUUUCCAGUGAGGUGACGCAACAGUGGCGCGGCUCAGCGAUGACCAAAAAAGGACUCAUCCCUUCUCCAGUAGCCCAACACGAUAGUCCUAUGUUGCGUUGAUGGGCAAAAUCGGGCUCCCUAUUUUCCUGUGAACUACUGUAAUAGUGGCGCAUUGUGGUGGGUGGCCAAUUCGAGAUUUUUCCAGUUUCUGAGUUAAAUUUUAAAAGGGAAAUCUAGUCAAUUCCCAAGCCCCAAGUCAUUAAUAACAUAGAAAUAAACCUAUUCUAGGUAUUCUGUGCUUACUUUUCAUCAAUUCUCUCUCAAGAAAACCCUUGAACCUCAAAACUUAACGUUCAAGAGAUCAAAUUUUCUCCAUUCUUUUUCCAAGAUAGCUCAAAAUUAAGGAUUCCCAAUUCAAGAGAUUAAAUAAUUCAUCUUCAAUAGCACAAAUAGGGAUUCAAGUUCAAGCUUUCUUUGUAAUUGCAUCAAUUAAGGUAUGUGGGGUUUAUGAACAAGGAUCCUCUUUCAUCCUUGUGCCCAAAACUAGUUUUAAUUACAAAUUUACAUGAUUUUGUAUGAUUAUUCAUGAAUUUCAAAUUAGGGUUCAUACCCAAUAUUGCUAAUUGAAGGAUUGUGAGCUUUGGAGUGAAUUAGAUAAGGAUUUUUCAUGUUUACUUUUGUAUUUUCAUGUGCAUUGCAGUAAUUCUCAGAUUUUGAGUUGAAUUAUCAAUACCUUCAUUAUCAAGCAUGAAUAUUACUAUAUUUUGACAUGAAUUUGAGGCAUGGGUAUUAAGUCUUAAUUGAAUACUGCUAUUUCAAGAAUUGAUUAUGCUAUUAGCACACUAUGACUAGAGCAUUUUCAGAUUUUCGAUAAAGAUUUGAUCUUUUGAUCUCAUUUUAGAUAUGAAAUACACAUUACAUUUUUAGACUACAGUUUAACUUAACAAAUAUACGGUUGGUUUUCAUAAUAAACCAUUAUACUAGAUUUUAAAGUUGAUAUCCAACAGAUGGAGCAUACAAAUUAAAAAGGAGUAGUAUUUAGCACCGAGUUGGGUAUGUUCACAUGUCCCAAAAGUACGAACCAAUGUUGGUUCAGAUUAUCAAAUUAUUCCAUUUCUAUAUGAACGACAGAUACAAAUGUGAUCACUUAGAUUAGGUUAUACUCAUUGGCAAGAGUAUGGCACCUCUCCCAAAAUAAGGUUUUCUCUUUAGGGGAACUAGACGUUGGACACUAUGAUAGAUCACAUAGUGUAUGUCGGUUAGAAGAACAUCCCUAAUAAAAAAUCUUUAUAGAAUAAUUUUUUAAAGAAUUCCCUACAACAUAAUAGUAAAGACUUUUAGAAUAGUUUUAAAAGUAUUUGCCCUACUAGUAAAACCUUACAGAACAGAAUAAUUUUAACAGAACAACGUUUAGAAACUAAGUGUAAAGGCUCACAGUUUUAUUUAGAUAUUCCUUUACAUAUGGCUUUAGCCAUGAGAUUUUAGAUUUUAGUUUAUAGAUCCAGAAGUGAGUCCUUUCUACACUUAGACGGUAUGAUUUGAAGACAUAAUACCAGUAUGUCUUUUAGAAACUAAAUGUUAUGACUCACUAGGUUUAUGCAACAUGUUUUUCUAUUCUUGAUUACGAUUUAUAGUUUUCAGAUAUUCCAGCUUAUGUGAGUCAUUUACAUUUAGUAUCCAUUAUUUUAUAAAUUGUGACGACAUUGAGAUAUUAUUUUACUUAUGCAUUCACCCCUAUAUACUCAGUACAUUCUCAAAGUACUGAUCCACAUAUAAGUUUAUGUGCUACAUUGUCUCAUCAUGUAGGUUCAGGUGCUUAGUUUUAGCAGCGUGAGUGAUUUCAAGUAUCUCCAUCUAUAUCCCAAUAGUUGGUGAGUCCUCAUAGUUUAGGGACUUAGUCUUUCAAUUUUUCAGCUUAUUAGUAUAGAUUAUUUAGUAUUUUUAGACAAUUCAAGUCAGUUGGGGGUUUGUCCCAGUGACUCUCUAGCAUUAGUAUUAGAGGAUUGUUAGACUUCUAGAUUAUGAUUCAGAUUUUCAGUAUUGAUUGAUCAGACUCUUGAGUCUAGAAUUUUUCAGAGAUUAUAUUUAGAUAUUCUAAGUUAGUUCAGACAGAUUUCUACAUUAUAGAUUUAAUGUUAUAUCUAUAUUUCCUUAUUAUGAGAUUCAGACUCAGUAGAAGGAAGACAUGGUUAGCUUAAGGCUACUCGUAGUCUUGAGCACCGUGUGACGUCUUGGGACUCAUUUUUGGGGUGUUACUUAAAUUGAUGUAAGAAGAGCUUGCUUUAAUAGGAAUAGGUUUAUCAUGACUCUUACUUGAAACUGGACACCACAAGAAAAUUUAAGAACCACUUUAAUCCAUCAUCUCCCCCUUAGAUCAAAGUCACACUCCUGAACUUGAGGAUAUAAUCCCUUAUCAAAUAUAUACCCACAACUCUCAACACAUAGGGGUACCACCAUGCACAUAGACGCUAGAAUCCCCUCAAUAAUUUUAAUGUAAAGACACAAAAUCCUUUCUAGGACACCCCCUUUCAGGGACACUAAUCAUAACUUCUUAUAAUUUUCAAAGUUAUCGACUUAGGACUACCAUUAUCAUGGGCAUAGACACCCACCCUUCUAAACACUUAACACUCUAUAUAAAAUUUCAUAGAAUGCUAGAAUUACACCUCUAAUAAUACAACUUACAACUUAACAAAAUUUUUAAAACUAUACCAAAGGCGCACAUUGCCUAUAUGUAUCUCCUCAAUUCUACUAUAAAGAACACCAAACAACAACUUCCCAGACUUCUCCAUACUACAAGAUUCAAGAAAGAAAUCUAGGUACGAGUGACACUCGUACACCUGACGCUUCAUCUAAUAACACAUUACCUCAGCAUUUAACUUAUUCGUAUAUACUCGCGCUCUUAUCCACUUAAUAAUUCAACCACAAUUCAUCAUUUUACACUUGUUCUCAUGUAUACAUAUACAUCAUAAUUGACCACUCAUUAUUCUACAAGUUUCCAACCUAGGCUAUUUCAUACCUCACGUCCUACAAGUCCGUUCCCACAAAAUACGUAUCAUCAAUCUCGAGCUACUAUUCUUACCAUUACACUCUAUAUCUACAGUUCAAGCCUAUUGUUUAACAACACAAAUCAUAAGGAGUAUGCCAUAUACUAUACUAAUCAAUCGAAUAGGAAUAUCAACCUAAGUUCAUAUUUCACUUAACUAUGGCCCAUAGGUUUAUCCUCCCCACGACAUUACUACUACACCUCAAAGUCCACUAUAUACCUUCUCACAUGUAGUACUAGUUUACAACUACUAGAGAAAGACAAUCAAGGGGGUAACUUCACAUAAUAAAGAUAGUCAAUCUUAAUCUUAUAAUACAUCCCAUUACCAUCUAUUAACAUACCCUACUUUCUCACAUCAUAUUUACUUACCCAUGCAUACAAUUAGACUACAUUCAAAUUCCAUUCCCACCAAUAAGUCUCUACCCACAACUUACUGAAUAAUCUACCUCUUUUCAUUCAUAACCUAUACGUGAUUUCUACAACCACCAUAACUAUCCAUUCUGAGAUUUUUUCCUAUUUUGAAUAAGCAAUAAUCAUAGCCAAAAACUCCCUCCACAGAAGACUAUACAAUCUACAAACAUUGCUGCUACAUUAGUCUAUCAUAAUAAAAUGUCAACCCACCUCCCAGCCAAGGGUUAUACAACCCAACUAUUUAUUUACGCAAAAGUCACCCUCACCCAAACUUCUAACCUUGUAACUUCAUAUCACUAACUUUGGGAUAAUAUUACUACUAAUAGGGUAUGACACCUUAACAUAUACUACUACUCAGGUGGGAAUAUUGUUCCAAUAUUCUAACAUAUAUCACUACCCUCAAUAUGACAUUUGUAACAAAAACUUUUUGAAAGGGGACGGAUACACUUCAUAUCUCAGGCUCAAAUGCAUGAUUGAUGUAGAGAGAGGUAUAAGAUUAAAUUAAUACACUUUAAAACACUAAUGGACUCCUCUCAAGUCCCUGUGCAAUUUCAUAAUAAUUUAUGACUCAAUCAGAAAGGACUAUAUCAUUUAGAUUCUAAGCUUCCGCACUUGAAUCACCUUGACAAUAAAACACAUCUAACAACAUCAGAGUAAGAAAAGAAUUUGGGGUAAUUUUACUUUUAUAUGGACGAUGCCAUAUCAUGAAAUAGAGUAUGACUCUAUUGCACGAAUUAGAACAUUAAGAAAAGGAAACAUUCCUAGAUACUUUAUAGCCUCUUACUUAUAAGUGUAGCGUGAUACACACCCAUAAAUAGGACUCUACCAAAUGCUAUUUUACAGAUACCCUAGGACCAUAAACCAUUCUUUGAUACCAAGAUUGUCAUGACCCAAGUCGAGGCCCUAGCUGCGAUAACCAUCCCAAACCAUGAAGGCUCGAGCGCCUUUUUUGAUCUGGCAAUCAUACACACCAUUCAUAUACCAUAAAGAAAUAUGGAAACUAUAAUAAUACGGAAACAUGGUCAAUCUUUUAGUUCAACUGAAUAAUUUCAAAAAGUGUUCUUAACAUUUAAAACACAUGACACCAGUCUGUGAAAUCUCAAACAAUACAAGAACAACAUACGUAAUAAAAUUGGGACAAGGUCCCAAGUCGAACCAUGAAUCAAAAUAAAAUAAAAAUAAUUCAUAACUAGGCCUUCCAAAAUAAGAGAGGCUCACCAACUGCAACUUCUGACCAAACAACUCUACUACUUAAUGGGACCCAAGAACUGUGCCUCAGAUCCUGAAAUAUAGGGGGUCAAUAGAGAUAUACUGGUACAUAGAGCAAUCUAAAAUAAUGUACUUUGAUAUAUAUAACAUAAGUGAGAGAAUUUCAUAUAAAAAAACUUUAUGCAUAAAAUAAUUUAAAACACAUGGGCAGUUUCAUAUGGUCUUAAAAUAAUUUUGCAGAUGUAAUUCCUCUUUUUUUUUUUACUUCUGAGCUAGGUAGUACACCUUAUAUAUUUGAAAGUAUCCUAUGGGAUAUAUGGGAUUUGCCCUUAACUCGGCGGCCAAGUCCCCAACCCAAUUUUCCCAUAAGGGUUGGAGUAUCUGAAUCUGAUAUGCCACAGGGUACUAGGCCAGCGUAUAAUCCCUUAUUGGGGACAUAAUAAACCCGUAUCUACAAAACAUGGUUUCGAGCAAUGAAUCGUAUGACCCAUGUUUACUUCGGGUAACUACCUAACUCUCUUAGUGCCCAUUUUUAACCUGUUCUAAACUUGCAUAUUUCUAAAUUCAAAAUCUAAAAAUCUAAAUGAAAUCUGACUUAUGUUUAGUUCUGAGUCUGUUAUGACAUUAUCGGUUUUGGUAUCGUCUUACCAAGACUUGAAAGUCAUGUCUCUAAGCCAUAAUUAUCAUACACAAUUCUUUCAUUCAAAAACAAUGUUCAGACCACCAAAAGUUCAAUCAACACAAGAAGAUUCAUCUUUCAAAACAUAUGUAAAACCAUGCAAUGAUUCCCUCUUUUCAACUCUUAAUCAUGUGGUGGUCACUUACUUUAUAGCGAAUCGUGCAAUUCUUUCAAUAGACAUCUUCAUCAUUUAUGAAAAAGUAAAAUACCCUCUCUUUAAUUCACCAUCAAUCUCAAAUCAUUUAUCAAUAGCCAAGAGAACAUUUAUAUCGUGCUUCAAAAGUAAAAUUUAUCAAUUCGUAAAAUAUAAAAACCAAAGGAUUAUAACUAGAGAGGGAGUACAAAUAUUCAUCUCUUAAUUCAUCCUUUAAAAAGUCCAACGCAUACACAUAUAUGUAUAUAUAUGUGUGUGUGUGUGUGUGCGCGAACAAACAUCAAGUUUAUGGGGAAGGCCUUAAGACUAAAACAUUAUUAUCAAAAGAGUUCAAAAAGCAUAAUUGUUAAUGUAAAUUCAAAACCCUUUAUAAAUUCAUGAUCUUUCAACCUUAAAAACUUAAUCAAAACAAUUUCACCAUGCCCAUGUAGUGUAGGAAAAUCCCACGUACCUUAGAUGAUCUAAUUCAAAUAAUAGAACUCAAGUCUUAACUCAUUUCUUGGAAUUCUUGACUUAGGAUCUUGAUUCUUGAUCUUUGGAAGCUUAGGAAUUUCUUGAAUAGGAAGAGAGAAUAAUGAUGUAAC
rnacentral:lncRNA from 1 species